UAGAAACUUGCCACGCAAACCCAAUGGUCAAAAGCCUCACUAGCCAACUCUUGUCUUCUCAUUCCUCACUAACAACCUCAAGACGCUCCCUAAUCCUCAUGGCGAUGGCGAUGGCGAUGCUAUGUUCUUCUCACUCACCUCCAAUCCUCUCCCAAACCCUAACCUUCCACCGAAAUCGAUAAACCCUAACCCAACCCUACUUUGUAUUCCCCGAUUUCUUAGACCAUCACGGCCAAUGACAAACAAUGCUAUGUUCUUCUCCAAUCCUCUCCCAAACCCUAACCUCACACCUAUCCCCUCAUGCUAUGUUCUUUCAUUAAGAACACUAUAUUUAUCAGCAUUGAUGGAUAACUGAAACAUUGUCGCCCUCCCCAAGCCUCUGAACUGAAUAAGAAGAACUCUCCGAAGGAAAGUGUGGUUGUCGAUUGCGGAAGGCGUCGAACCUCUUGCAUGAAAGGUCCUUUGAUUUUGGUGGACUAACGGCCGCAUGCUUUUGCUCUUUCGGGGUCGCUAAACUUGAGGCCUCCGAUCCUGAAAAGCCUCAUUACAACCAACAGAAAAGACCUUCUGAUUCUUGCAUGCAUUCAAGAUAAAUAGUGGAGAUUGGAUAACCUUUGAAGCCUAUGGUAAGGCAAGUGAUACGAACACGGAAACGAGAAGGAUCACCUUGAAGAAUUCAGAUUUAGAAAUUGGUUUAGUUUUGUUUAAAGGGAAGGAUAUUGACGCCACACUCAAAACAUAGGUGAGAAGGUGAGUGAUAAGUCAUAAAUUUGAUCGCCAUAAGUUGUCUUGAUAAGAUCUGAUUUAGUUCUUUGCCCAAGAACCAAGGGAAGCUCUCACAAAAGGGAGAAAACUCAAACUUUCAUUCAGACUCAAUUUGCCUCAAAGCUACAAAGUUUAUACUGUUCAUAGGCUAGGCUUCCUUCUAAACAUCCCAUGAGGAAUUAAUUUCCACUUAGAAUUAAAUUCACACUAACUUUAAAUUUCCACUAGAAACAAAGCCCCACUAACCACUAUAAUAACUUGGGAAACCUAAAAACAUAAAAACUAACUUAAAAUAUUUCAAGAGUCAUCUGAACUUAUUACAUGAAAAUAAAAUACAAAAAUUAAAGGAAAAUAAGAAAAUGGGCUUUAAUUAGUUCUUUAGCCCAAAAACUAUGUAAUUCAUCCAAAUAAAUUCCAGUCCACAGUUGCAUCUUGAGUAUAAACUCUUGAGCUCUUUGUGCUCUUCAAAUUAUUGUCUUUAAGUUUGCUGAAUUAAACUUCAAGUAGUAGAAAUGAGACAAUUCUUGGUUUGGGCACUUGCAUGACUAAGCUUUGGAAAGACUUCCUAGUUCUUUUUAGUCUUGGUUUGGUCAUUGGGUCUUUGAUCCAUUGCAAAAGAUAUUUGAAGUGAUUAAACCUUUGUUGGAUCAUAUCAGCAAGACUAGAGAAAGUGAUUGUGCCUAAAUGUUUAACCCUUAAACACUUGUGAUAGGAGAUAUAAGUACCCUAAUUAGUAAUGGAAAUUAUUUUAAAGGACCUAAGCCUCUAAUUAGAUUUGCUCGUAGACAAACUCUUGUCAUUAUUUUAUAAAUUGCUAGUUUCACCUAGUUUCCAAUUCUACUGCUAAUUUCUCUAUACUUAGGCAUUGCAAAUAUUCUACUGCUAACUUCUUAUGUGUUGCUAUUGAUUAUUGGUUGUCCCCCAUAAUCCAUUUUCACUGCUGAGUGUUGAUACUUUACAUCAAUGCUCAGGAUGUUAUAUCCACUGUUGUUUGUAUUUGUUUUGAAAUGUUGUAAAGAUGAUGAAAUUGUUCAGCUGUAAUUAUAUCUUGUAUAUUUGUUUUCUUUUUAUUUAUCUUGUAUAUAUGUUUUCUUUUUUACUUUUCGUGUUUCUAAUUUUUUUUAAUAUACUAACUUGAAAAUAUUUUUAAAAAUAUUACUUAGACAACUAUUAUAAUAUGUUGAUAUCUUCUAUCUCUAUUUUAAAUUAAAUUAAAUAUAAGUUGUGGGCUAAAUGGAAAGGUUUUAAAAUUAAAUUUUAGGUUGUUUGUAUUCUGUUGCACUGCAUAUUAGGUUAUUAUUAUU